GUCGUGAUUAGACAGUCAAAGCAAGCACAUAUAACAUCUAUUAAUAAUUACAUUUUAUACUCUCCCUACCAAUUAUUUUAUAGUAAAGGUCUUACAAAUUAUAAGAAGUGAGAUAUCAAACGGAAAGAUAAAUGUGCGGUAUAAACAUUUUACGACUAUAUUGCUUGUUAUAUAAUAUACAUAGAUGACAUAAACGUAACUGAAAAGAUGUAAUCGUAGUUAGAAAACCGCAGUGCUAAUUGUGUUCAUAGACUGAUAGUCUGAUACUCAAAAAAAAGAGUAUGGCUAUAUGAAAAAUUUCGAUAAAAUAAUUAUAAAUAUAAGAAGUAGAAGAGGUAAUGAGGAAACAUUCGAGUAAUUCUCACAACAAGGAGAAAGAGCACAUCAAGGAGAAAGAAAAAUAAGCAAAUUAAACAUACGAGGGAACAACAGACGUUAAUAACAUUACAGGACAACGAUAGUCAAUAGUUGGAAAAAAUUAGAAACAAAGAGAUAAAGUAACAACCAAGACAACAAUACUGAGAGCAAAAAAGUGUUGACGGAAUCGAACAAAGGUGAAGAAACAAUAAGAAGUAUAAAUGACAUAAAGGUAUUAUUUUAUUCGCAAGAAAGCGUGGAAAGGACAUCAAAUUUUUGUGACAAAAAUGAAAUAUUGUAAACGAUCGACUAAUUAAAGCAGAUCUGAAUAUCGAGAGAAUAAUUGGGAAAUAUGAUGAAUAUACGAAUUUGUACGCAUGAAAACGCACUGUUCUGAAGCAUUAUAAAUUUAUUAAAAUGGGAAGAUCACAAUGGGAUGAUGGUCUUCAUAUGAGCUACCGAUUACGUGAAUAUUCCAACGAGAAGUUAGUCAAAUGUAUAAAAGCAGGUAUAUCAGAAAAGAAAAUAAUCGAAUGAAUAAUUGAGGAAUGAAGAAAUAUACGAAUCCAAGUCUAUUUAGAAUUUGUUAUAGAGAUAUAAAAUAUCAGACAUAUAUAUGAAAAACCAGACAUAUGAUAUCAAAAGCACUAAUCAUUUAUUAUGUAUAUCUCAUACUAAUCGUAAUAUCCAUGUAAGUAGGACAAGUAUGAGAAUGAUGGGGUUCAAUUGUGAAAGAAGCCAACUGACGAUAAGAGGUAUACAUUAAUGAUAUUCGCAUCGAGUACUGCGUUAAUUUUAAAAGAUCCACGUAAUGCUUAGAGGAAAUAUAAUCGAUGAAAUUGAAUUGAAAUACCUAGAAAAUAACUUCGAAAAAUUAACAGGUUCUAAAUACAGCUGUAUUAUAUCUAUGGAUAUGUUAACUGUGAAUUUCACUAUUAAUGGAAUCAAAACGAAAAUGAAGAUCCAAGACGUUUAGAUGAAAUAUCAAGCCAUGUUUUGAAACGCACUUACAUCGGCAACAAGAAUAUAUUGUAAUCGUGAGCCGACCAAAUUAGUUAUUAAAAUCUAGAUACAAACUGAAUAAUGGCUAUUAAUUCUCAGAUUCUUAAUAAUAAUGGAAGAUAAGAGCAUGACGAACGUAUCUGUAUUAAAUAAUAAGAGAGGAGAUCACGUAAUCGACAAAGAAACAAACGUGACACGAAGGACUGAUAAUAUCUAAUGAAAAAGAAGAAAAGAGCUAAAUCUCUUCAACAUGUUAUAUCGAUAGAGUCCAGAUGAAUAUAACACUAAUGGAUUUGGGAUCUAUAGAUUAUCAAUCGUAUUAAGUAUUCCAUCACGAGUAACAAUAACAGUUGGAAAUAGUGAAAAAUUUGAUGAAAACCAACAUCAUCGAAGAAAAUUAAUCUUAAUUCCACAGUCCGACAAUGUUUGCUAAGAAAAACACGAGCAACAUAUACUACAGGACGGUAAAAAAUCGUAAAAUUGUUAUCAAAUAAUAUUCUUGAAAAGGAGUAAAGGAUCAAUUGGAUAGUUUACGAAAUAUCAAAUAUUCUACUACUGUAAUUAAUAGUAUACUAAUAAGUAAUUACUACUAGUGGGUAUUAUCAGGUAGGCAUGGUUAAAGAGUCUAUUACCGUAUAUAGCUUAUCCAAUGAACAUUAUUAGAUCACUAAAACGUCAUUCGGGUAAUAUAGUGUGACAUACAUAGUAUUUCAAUGAUAAUUGAAUAAGAUAAUUUGCAAUAAAUAACUACAACGAUAUAUUUAGACGUAUCAUUAUCUCGUUAAAAAUUGUCGAAGAACGAGUAGUUAAUUUUUUACAUUCAUUCUAUUACACUAUUUUCCACAUUAUUCAUGGUCCAUUGAGCUUGUGAUAAGUGCAUAUCCAAAUCAUCACCAUAUAAAUUAUUCGUUGUUGCUAUGCAAGUUUACAAAAAUCGAUACAGUCUUUCUUGUCUCUUUAUUUUCGGAGUAGCAGUUGCGAACUUCUCAUAACUUAUGUACCCAUCUAUAGACAUUCUUUUUCCUGAAUAAUUCAUUUAAGCCGACCCUAAUGUUAGAUAAACUCUCUUAAAAAUAUUAUGCAGAUAGUAUGACAAAUUACUUAAUGAUAGAAUACUUGCUGUACAUUAAGACAAUUAUAUAUCUCAUGGUAUUUUUGUUCUAAAUGAUUUCAGAUGACUCAAAUGUACAACAGUACCCUAUAGCUUUUCUAAAGAAUAUAGCUAUCCUGACUGUUUACUUACCGAUGUUUCAUAAUAUAAUAUUUUGUGCAUCAAUAUCAGCAUCCUUCAUUUAUUGCUACUACAGUCUUAUCGAUUCGUCCAACGUGACGUAAAUUCUUGGAAAAAACAAUCAUUUUACUACUUGAAAAAAACAAUCAUUUUAAUACGUUAUAUAGUAUUCUAUAGUACUUUCAGCAACUAUUUCGAAACGUGAAUCUUCAGGAACAUAACUUCCUACGACUUUCCGUUACAUGAUAUACUUCAGAUUUAUACAUUGUAGACUACUUAAGGAUAGAUUUUUGUAGUUUUGUUCUAACUUUUAAAAUUUAUUCUCCAAUCCUUCAAUCCAGUCGUUAAAGAUC